rnacentral:rRNA from 1 species
UACGUAGGGGGCUAGCGUUGUCCGGAAUCAUUGGGCGUAAAGAGCGUGUAGGCGGCCCGGUAAGUCCGCUGUGAAAGUCGGGGGCUCAACCCUCGAAUGCCGGUGGAUACUGUCGGGCUAGAGUGCGGAAGAGGCGAGUGGAAUUCCUGGUGUAGCGGUGAAAUGCGCAGAUAUCAGGAGGAACACCGAUUGCGAAGGCGGCAUCCUGGACCGGUAUUGACGCUGAGGAGCGAAAGCCAGGGGAGCAAACGGG